rnacentral:misc_RNA from 1 species
AAGUCGUAACAAGGUCUCCGUAGGUGAACCUGCGGAGGGAUCAUUACACAAUAACAUAUGAAGGCUGUACGCCGCUGCGCCCCCGGGCCAGUUGGCUGAGGCUGGAUUAUUUAUUACCCUUGUCUUUUGCGCACUUGUUGUUUCCUGGGCGGGUUCGCCCGCCUCCAGGACCACACCAUAAACCCUUUUUUAUGCAGUUGCAAUCAGCGUCAGUACAACAAAUGUAAAUCAUUUACAACUUUCAACAACGGAUCUCUUGGUUCUG